GGGCCUUUAGCUCAGUUGGUUAGAGCAUCCGACUCAUAAUCGGCAGGUCGAAGGUUCGAGUCCUUCCAGGCCCACCA
rnacentral:tRNA from 1 species